GACGAAGGAUGCAAGCGUUAUCCGGAUUCAUUGGGUUUAAAGGGUGCGUAGGCGGCCAGAUAAAUCAGUGGUGAAAUCCUGUUGCUUAACAACAGAACUGCCAUUGAUACUGUUUGGCUUGAGUAUAGUUGCUGUGGGCGGAAUAUGACAUGUAGUGGUGAAAUACAUAGAGAUGUCAUAGAACACCGAUUGCGAAGGCAGCUCACAAAACUAUAACUGACGCUGAGGCACGAAAGUGCGGGGAUCAAACAGG
rnacentral:rRNA from 1 species